CCCGGGCGGAGGGCGCUUUCAAAGAGAGGUGGGAUUUGCGUUUUAUAGCCUGGGCCAUAAAGUGGCCCCUUGCUUGUAAACCUGCCCGCAUCUUCCCGAGGCUGGGGAGCCGCUAGCAGCCCAGGGCUCCAGGAUCCGGGCUCCGAGGAGGGGUUUGCUUUGAAAUUUCAAAGAGACGAGCUAAGGGGAGGGGGAGGGGCUCUGAGAAUCCGGAUUUUAGGGCCGCUCUUCCGAGGUCUCCUCUAAGAAGGCGGGGAGGGGGAGGGGCGGGAAGCGUCCCGGGACUUUGAACACCGCCUCCCACCCGGCGGGAAGUGGGGGCUUGGUUUGUACCGCGGUGACCCCCGCCCCCUCCAAAGCCGCAGAGCUGGGGCCUCGCGCCAGCAGGGCUGGAGAUGCCUUCUCGGCGGCUGAGUUUAUUUAUUAUAGGAAGUCAUUCGCUCGUGGGGUAUUUAUGUGAUUUGGCGAGUGAUGUGCCCGGCCAGGGCCCUCCUUGGCUGCAGCUCCGUGGGAGGACCCGGAGUGGGGUGGGAUGGGUGUGAUGCGAUGGGUCGUGGGAGGAGCGCGUUAGCGCCUGCCCGGGGACCCUCCAGCUCCCGCGGGGACGCGGAGGCGCGCACGCCGUUCGGUUUUCCUGGAAAGUGGAGAAGGAGCGUCCUGGGCCGGUCCUCUGAGCUCACCCGCUUCGGAUUGGGGCGGGUCCGUGACGGGGUCACUUAGGACAGGACGUCCCCUCCCCAUUCCCUUUCCCCGCCCAGGGCGUUCGCGGUGGGCGCCCACCCCCCAAGCCCCACGGUUCCCAAGGAUGCGCCAGGUGCUUCCCGUAGCGUCCUGGGUUGACCCUUAAAUAAACAGCACCCGUAGGAGGUGGGCGGCCCUCUCCUCCCGGGGUCUCUCCGGGUCACGAUCUUUCAAAGUUCGGAAACUCCCAGGAUCGCGUGUGCAAUCUCCCGCUACCUCCGGGGCGGGGGGUCUGGGGAGCGGUGAGAGGUCAGAGGAGCGAGUCCCGCGUCCACCGGCCUCGCUUCCCCCCUGCCCGUUUGAGGUUAACUCCGCGGAGCAGGGUGGGGUGUGCGGACAUCACCGGAGGCCUUGCUGGGGCUUCCCGGGCUGGCGGCGCUCCACCCGGCUUGGGGGGCGGCUGCACGGGCCCUCGCGGUGGGGACGCUGCGCACGGGGCAAGGUCUUCCUAGGAAGCGCCCGGGAAGGAGAGGGGGCCCGCCAGGAACCCCCGUCACUGACCAGCUUUCUGCACGCCGUGCAGAAGUGGGCCGCUUCCUCGGAGAGUAUUGGCUUUUAAUUAAAACAAGCCCUACAAUUUUUACAGCGGUAAGAAACUUGGGGAAAUCUCACCUUUCCACUCAUUCAUUCAUCCGCUCAACAGACUUUUGAGCGCCCAGAAUCCCAGAAAUAAUCGGCAGGUUCAGGCACCCACCCCUGAGUCCCUGUCCCUGGGUGCCCUGGGUCUCACUGGGAGGUGCUGGAGGAAGUCGGGUGAGGGAGAAAGUGAAAAAGGAGGUAGAAACUCCGGGCAGUUAGAACAGCACCUUCAACUGUGUUAUUUCCCAAGUGAAAAAUCGCAUGAUUUCAUUUUUAAAAGAAUGUCGUUUUUAUUAUGAUAGUGGGUUUUUUUGUUUUGUUUUUGUCUAGUAGGUAAUUUUCAGAACCUUUAAAUUAAAAUUGAUUCAGCGGAAAUCACUUGGCUUUUCUAGAAUUUUCCUUGCAAAGGUCCUUCCUGGGCCCCAUUUUCCUUCUUUUCCUUUUUAGUGUCUCUGCCUCAGCAGCUAUUGGAAAUAUUUAGUGCAAGGGCGAGAGCCAAACGCCAGGAGCUGGGUGUGAAGUAUUUGAGAAAGUGCCUCCUAAUUGAUCUUUUCUGUGCUGUUUUAAUUCAGCCGUGUUCAGGCCCAUUAUUUUAGCUAUAACCACUUCAGAUUGCCUUUUUCUCUCGUUUUUUAUAAAAAUGUAGGCAGAAGUGCUUCACCCUGUCCAGCUGAGAUGGAAACCAACAAAUAGACUUUAUUAUAGAGAAAUGAGGGUUCUGAGAAAUCAGCAACUGGAAGAUAAGUCUGUAACUAAUAAAUGAAAAGGCUCUUUUGAUGGCCCCAGCUGAAAAGAUAUUUUAUUUUAUUUUUUUCCUGUGUGUGGGAUUUGAGAUGUGUGAGUCUAAGGAGCAGCCGGGGUCCCCCGCUGCUCAGCCCUGGCUGGCAACCGACCCCCCUCUGGCAAAUGUUAUGGAGAAUUGGGAGGAAUUUUAUGGCUGUCUUUCCCUCAGCUCUUUUUUCUUUUGUCUUCUUUGAAGAAUGACUUUAGACAUUUUAUUUACAUAUUUAACCAUGGAUGAAAGAGGGAAAAGAAAGCUUUGGAGCUGUCGUGGGAAUAGUGAUAUGUUUAAAUUAAUGGAAAUCUUAUUAGGCUUCUAAAAUUUUGAGCAAAGGUUUUUAAUGAAACUUUAUAAUUAAACAUGAUUUCACAUAAUGUGCAGAGACAAGGAAUAUGUUUUUACCCCCAACCACCUAAAAAUAUCUGUCUAUCAGAAAGCUAUCAGUAAACACUAUCUACCUUCAAGUUCUUGGAAACGUUCACCAGGGAAAGUAUGAGGUUUUUGAAAGAGAAUAUUUCAGGAGUCAGGCAGUGUUUUGAACAAGAACUAAAUAUUUUUUGGAGGUGGAGGGGAUUUGAAAGAGAGGCCCAGUUUCAUUCCAUUUAAACUCACAAAGUCAAAAGUAUAAAGUACUUUGACACGGAUAUUGCUAAAAAUCAAAGUUGUAUCUUUUCUCAUUAUGUAAUAGUCAAUGGAAAUUAUAAACACUGUGCGAGGUUUUCUGAAAUGGGAUUAGAGAAAACCCAAAUAAUCUCUUUAAGAUAAAAAAGUACUGAGUCUUUCAGCAAUAGAAAUAAAUUAAACCAUAAGCUUAGCAUGUUACAAGCUGAUUGCGAGAGUAAACUCGUGGAAGCGGAAGGAAGCUCAUAAACAGAAAUCGUGCUGGUGAGGGUUGAGCUAGAAAGUGGUUCAGGCUGUGGUAAUGCCUUUUCAGUAACUGCUGCUUGAAUGAGCUCUCCUGGCACAUUCAAGUGUGAGGAUCCACGUUAAGUGAUUCUUGUGUUUCUUCUCUCGUCUUCUCGGGUCGUCAAUCUUUGUAUUUAGUCCGGGACAUUUCCAAUUGUACCUUCAAGUAUAAGAAUGAAAACUGAUCUAUUUACCAAUAAUUGCUUCACAUGCAGAGAGGUCUGAUGUGAAUAGGCCUUAUUUUCUCUGACCUCAUCUAGUAUCAAGUUUCUGCAGAAGCUUAUCAGAUAUAAAACAUGCACAGAAAAUUAUGUUUUCUGAUCAAGUAGGCAUGCUCCCCGUGGCGUACCCCCAUCUUUUUCUCCAGGGAAAAUAUCUUUAGUGAUCUGAAGUGAUACUUAGCAAAGAAAACACACUUUGUUCCACCAGAAAGGCCAUGCAAGUUGCAGCGAAUUCAACAGGCGCAGAAGUUUUAAUUCUGCCUAAAAACACUGGUGGUGAGAUGUGGAGGGGUGGGGAAGGUGAGAAAUGAACCCCAAAGCACCCCCAUCCUAAAGCGGGUGAGUGGGGUGUCCGACGUGGCUCCGGCGCAAUUUAGGCAGCUAUUUUAUGGCCAUUUCCCUUGAAAUGUGGUUUGAAAUAUUACCAAAGGUUCCACGGGGUGCAUUAGUGUGAAUUGCAAAUCAGAGCAUUGAUUUAAUCCUCUUUCAAGGCCAGGCUUUGGAUCGCUGGCGUCGACUGGCUCCCCACUGCUCCUGGCUCAGGAGGGACCAUUCAAGGGGGCAGCUUCCCGCCUCUAUUCCCACACUCCAAAAAACAACACCGCAGACAGACACCCUCCAACUAAAUUAGAUUAAACUCCUUCUCUUCCACAGCGUAUUAGCCUUUUUGCUGGCCAAGCCUCUCCCUACGCAGCCCCUCCUCAUUUAAAGACACAGAUUUCUUUUUCAUCUCUGCAACAACUGCAACGACAAUAACAACACACAUCAUCAUGUUCCCUCCUGUACCCUGGGACCGUUUUCUUUUGCCUGCUCUGGGAGCUGAGUGGGUCAGCUCGUCGCAGGCCUGCAGCCCCUGUAUAGGUGACAGAGGAGGCAAAGAUGACACAGAGAAGCUGUCCCUUCAGGGACAAAGCGGGGACACCCACGAGCCUGGCUCUGCCUUACAGAGAAAUGAGAAGGAAUCCUGUUCCUGCUUUUCACCUUAGGUGGACUCUGAGUCUGCGGCCACUCACCAAACACGUGAGCAGCCCGACACCACAGUGAUGAGCAGGGCAGGAAACCAUCCAGAUGCGUGGGUCUGAUUCCCCCUUUUCCACUUUCUAGCCCUGUGACCUCAGAUAUGCCACUUCUAAUCGCCUUGCCUCAGUUUUCUCAUCUGUAAAAUGGGACCAGCAGAGUUCCCACUUCCCAAGGCACGAUGAGGAUGAUGUCGUAACACACUCGGAAGCAUUGAUUGCAAUACCAAGCACCAAACAAGUGCUCAGUGAUGAGUAGCUGUCAUUACUGUUGAAAUGCAAUAUGAACGGAAGGAGAGAACAGAGGCUGCUACACUUGUGUGUCCCUUCUUCCUUGAAUUUAACCAGGAGUGAGCAGUGGACAGCUUCUUCCUUGUGAGGAGGAGGUGGAGCAGGACCUGAAAUCCCAUGCUCAGCUCCCACAGCCCCUGUGUCCAGGACAAGUCCUUUGCUGACUCAGCAGCAGACGCCACCCGGAGCCCUUCGGGAGCCUUUCCCUGUUCUUCCAGCAUGGAUCUGAAAUUCCGUUCCCACUGUCCGCAGCCUCCCAGAUAUAGUUCCGGUUCCAGCCUCAUGUGAUAGCGUGAAGAGAAACGGUGGUCCCAGUAGCUGUGUGCUCUGCUCCCCUUAUCCCAAACGACAAUUUAAAUGCACAAUUACACUUUUCUCUAGGGCCCAAAAUAGGAUAGGAAAGAUGGGUUUGCUAUCCUGAAUGCCUGUCACCCUUGUUUCAUAAGGUGAGAUUGGGGAAGGGCUUGGCCACUGCCCUGGCAGCUGAGAAACCAACUUUAGGAAUAAAGGCACUUUCUCCCCUCUGA